rnacentral:lncRNA from 1 species
CUAUGAGUUUAUUAUCUUUUAAAGGCUAGUGAACUUUUUUUGCAAAUGGAUACUAAUGUUACAUUCCAGUAGGGGGCACUAAAACAUUGCUUUUAAACAUUAAAAAUACUUUUCUCAGCGUGAAAAUGAGAUUUUUGGGCAACUUUUGUUUCUUCAGGUUAAUAGGAAAAUGAUGGAGGAUAAUGGCAAGGAAAAGAAACACAGUCCCAUUAGAACAUCAAAGCUACCAAAUUAUCUUGAUUAAGUUUCUGGAGAGAAUCAUUUUCUGCGUAAAAACUAUUGUCGCUGCUAUGUUUAAUGUUUGGUAUCAGUGAACUUAUGGAAACACGACAUCAUGCUGGCUCUAAGAAACCCCACGGUGACUGAGGAUGAUUAUUUACGGGGAUCCCUCAAACAGAAAGAAACGGCAAAACUCAAUGGCACUAGGUCUACUAUAGUUGUGAUGGUUUCAAAUACAUGACUUUAAAAUCCUAAAUUGUAAAAGCUUUCAAGUAGAUGGUGGCUUGGGCUUGAACCCUUUAGCCAUCCACCUGAGGCUGGAAUAUACUGGGAGGAACGGUCAGAUGACAUUCUCUGGUGUCAUGUGCUACACUGACCUGAUCAGGCUGGACUACUGGGCGCCCUGCUCUUUAGGGGCGGGAUAACCAAUGCUGUGAGGUGAAUGAACAUCUGGUCCUAAAAAAGUGAGUGCUCUGUUUCUUGGAUUGUUUAUUUCCAAGAGAACUAGAGGGAAAGGCAAGCCCAUGCAUGUCCCUUUGGCCAGGCUGCACAGCUACAGAAUCUGCACUGAAUUUAGUCUGGCCUGUGACAUUCUUGCCAUUUGUUUUGCAAAUUUUAGUAGUAUGGAGAGAAACCAUCAGCAUGGGGGGGGGGGGAAUUCCUAUGUCUCUGAAUAUGUUAAGAUUGCUAUCAAAUACAGAGCCUAGCCCAGCUAGUCAGUCUCCAGUGGGGCAGGCUUGUGCUCUGUCCCUGCCAAGAUGUUGAAAGCUCCCCCGGCAAAGUGAUACAGCUGUGCCGGACACAACAGGAGGGUUUAGAUCCAGACAUGGGAGCAGCUGCAGUAAUGUGAGCUAAAAGGAAUGCAAGCGUGUGUGGGGGUGUUGAUUUCAAAAGCAGGUUCUCCAAAGAGUGUUGCUCUGCCCAUCAAGAGGCUGGUGCUAAUAUUAAGACUAGGAAGGGAAUUAAUGAAAUGUUGUUAUCAGCCCAAACAGGUGGAUGGCAGAGGUAUGGACAACCCAGACGAGACCUAGUCUGAGAGAUGGGGGUGACCGGCUGACAACUCCCAUUAGCAGCUGUAAUUCCAAAAGGCCCAGACUGCUGGAGGCCUGCGAGGGAGCCACGGAGGUUAUCUGGAGGGCUGGUGUUACAAUCUAGGUGGACCGGAUCCAACAGUGACAUCUGAGGCUGGCUCCAGGGAAGGCUGGUCUGGCAUGAGGAUGCCUUCAGCUACUUGGGCCUGCAAGCGGGGCGGGUGGGAGCUUUGGUGCAUUUGUGUAGCUGGGCUGUGCGUGGGAGGGAGGAGCCUCACGUGGGUUCUAUAGCCUAAGAUCUGAUCUAUUCUUGCCUUAUUCAAUAGACUGGCCUUCCCUUUCUCUCAAUGAGCCCCUCACACAAAUGCUUUUCAUCUAAAGACGGCUUUCCCCAAAUCUGAUGUUUCUAAGGGCUUUCCAGAAGCUAGCGAAGGCGCAAGAGAAGAUCUCCAGGGGCUAAGGAAGGGAGAGUGAGAACCACUUUUCCCUCCCAUUUGUCCACGGGAUGGUUUUCUGAGGACAAGGGGUGAUGGACCUGUGUGUGCACAGGUACAGAUACAAGACUAACCGGAAGGGGAUGUAAGCUUUUGAUGGAACUAAAGCCAUGGUGGAUGGUGUAUUUCCACUCAGCAGAGAGCCCCCCUGAAUAUCUUUAAAAGGAAUCUCAGACCUUGUAAACACGUCUGCAAUGCCUGGGGCUAAUCCCACCUGCUGGCACUUUUAUAUAAUUAUCUCAGCUGAGCUGCACAGUAAGUAUUACCAUUUCCAUUAUUCAGAUAAGGAAACUGCCUGGAGGAAAAGGAGCAGAGUUUGAAUCUGAAUUUAGGUCCUUUAACCUACUGGCAUUUUUUGUCUUUUUUUUUCAGAUGGGAUUAGGGCCCAUGCUAUUGGCCUUAUUUUAGCUUUUUUUUUUUUUUUUUUUUUUUUUUUUUUUUUUGGCCUUAUUUUAGCUUAAUCACCUCUUUUAAGGCACUUUCUCCAAAUGCUUUCAUAUCUGAGGUUUGGGGGCUUUCAUACAUGAAUUUGGAGUGGAGGCACAACACAGCCCAUAAUAGUCAAGUUCCUCAAGCCCCUCAAAUCUAGACGCAUUAACUUCUAAGAACACAACAAUUACAAUUUAAAGGGAGUUGAGAGCUUGGGAAAUGCCCUGACUGGUGGAUACUACUUACUGGGCGUGCCAUAACAUGACUGUGAGCGUGUGUACAGGUACCAAAGUACACUCAGGAUUUUGCAAUGAUAGGGUAUCACAAUUUCCUACUAGCUUCUCUGUCCUGCGGUCAUUUUCAGCUGCCCAAGAGAAGAGGGAACGUAGUGCAGGGCAGUAUGGGUCAGGAGAGUUAUUUCAGGAACACGGAUGUCCCCCCAGUUUAACUCAAAGAAGGCUUUGAAUCUCUCUGGGAGACCAGGCAGGGUAUUUUAUCCAAUACAACCACUUUAAUAAUUUCUCCCUCAUCACUCAUUUAAGAAUAACCUUUCUAUUAUGAUCAGUUAAAGAAUUUAUCAGCAAAGGUAGCUAAAAAGAUCCUUGCUAAUAAAAACCUUCCACACCUUUAAGUGUUUUGGGGUAACAUUUACAUUAUAAAUUCUUACAUUGACUGUGAUUUUAGCAAAUUCUUUUGUUUCUUAAUUUUAGGUCCUUCUGAUUUCUAAUUUAAGAGGUUUCCAUGGUUCUCAUCAAUUUGUGUUGAUAAGUGACUAAAUUUGUUGUAGGUUUUAAUUGGGCUGUGAAACUAAGGUGGUGUUUACAAUCUUUUAAUAGAAU